CUCCAAUGCGAGCGACCGCCGCUGAAAGGCGGCUUUCCUUCGGGACGCGAAGCAAGGUGCUGCAUGGUUGUCGUCAGCUCGUGCCGUGAGGUGUUGGGUUAAGUCCCGCAACGAGCGCAACCCCUAUUUCCAGUUGCCAGCACGUAAUGGUGGGGACUCUGGAGAGACUGCCGGCGUAAGCCGCGAGGAAGGUGGGGACGACGUCAAAUCAUCAUGGCCUUUAUGCCCGGGGCUACACACGUGCUACAAUGGCGGGUACAGAGGGCCGCGAAGCCGCGAGGUGGAGCCAAUCCCUCAAAGCCCGUCCCAGUUCGGAUCGGAGUCUGCAACCCGACUCCGUGAAGGUGGAAUCGCUAGUAAUCGCGCAUCAGCCAUGGCGCGGUGAAUACGUUCCCGGACCUUGCACACACCGCCCGU
rnacentral:rRNA from 1 species